AAGCCGAGGCCGAAAGGCGUAGGCGAUGGACAACAGGUUGAUAUUCCUGUACCACCUCCUCACCAUUUGAGCAAUGGGGGGACGCAGGAGGAUAGGGUAAGCGCGGUAUUGGAUAUCCGCGUCCAAGCAGUUAGGCUGGGAAAUAGGCAAAUCCGUUUCCCAUAAGGCUGAGCUGUGAUGGCGAGCGAAAUAUAGUAGCGAAGUUCCUGAUUCCACACUGCCAAGAAAAGCCUCUAGCGAGGUGAGAGGUGCCCGUACCGCAAACCGACACAGGUAGGCGAGGAGAGAAUCCUAAGGUGAUCGAGAGAACUCUCGUUAAGGAACUCGGCAAAAUGACCCCGUAACUUCGGGAGAAGGGGUGCUCUGUUAGGGUGCAAGCCCGAGAGAGCCGCAGUGAAUAGGCCCAGGCGACUGUUUAGCAAAAACACAGGUCUCUGCGAAGCCGUAAGGCGAAGUAUAGGGGCUGACGCCUGCCCGGUGCUGGAAGGUUAAGAGGAGCGCUUAGCGUAAGCGAAGGUGCGAAUUGAAGCCCCAGUAAACGGCGGCCGUAACGAUAACGGUCCUAAGGUAGCGAAAUUCCUUGUCGGGUAAGUUCCGACCCGCACGAAAGGCGCAACGAUCUGGGCACUGUCUCAACGAGAGACUCGGUGAAAUUAUAGUACCUGUGAAGAUGCAGGUUACCCGCGACAGGACGGAAAGACCCCGUGGAGCUUUACUGCAGCCUGAUAUUGAAUGUUGGUACAGCUUGUACAGGAUAGGUAGGAGCCUUGGAAACCGGAGCGCCAGCUUCGGUGGAGGCAUCGGUGGGAUACUACCCUGGCUGUAUUGACCUUCUAACCCGCCGCCCUUAUCGGGCGGGGAGACAGUGUCAGGUGGGCAGUUUGACUGGGGCGGUCGCCUCCUAAAAGGUAACGGAGGCGCCCAAAGGUUCCCUCAGAAUGGUUGGAAAUCAUUCGCAGAGUGUAAAGGCACAAGGGAGCUUGACUGCGAGACCUACAAGUCGAGCAGGGACGAAAGUCGGGCUUAGUGAUCCGGUGGUUCCGCAUGGAAGGGCCAUCGCUCAACGGAUAAAAGCUACCCCGGGGAUAACAGGCUUAUCUCCCCCAAGAGUCCACAUCGACGGGGAGGUUUGGCACCUCGAUGUCGGCUCAUCGCAUCCUGGGGCUGUAGUCGGUCCCAAGGGUUGGGCUGUUCGCCCAUUAAAGCGGUACGCGAGCUGGGUUCAGAACGUCGUGAGACAGUUCGGUCCCUAUCCGUCGCGGGCGCAGGAAAUUUGAGAGGAGCUGUCCUUAGUACGAGAGGACCGGGAUGGACGCACCGCUGGUGUACCAGUUGUUCUGCCAAGGGCAUCGCUGGGUAGCUAUGUGCGGACGGGAUAAGUGCUGAAAGCAUCUAAGCAUGAAGCCCCCCUCAAGAUGAGAUUUCCCAUUCCGCAAGGAAGUAAGAUCCCUGAAAGAUGAUCAGGUUGAUAGGUCUGAGGUGGAAGUGUGGCGACACAUGGAGCUGACAGAUACUAAUCGAUCGAGGACUUAACC
rnacentral:rRNA from 1 species